rnacentral:lncRNA from 1 species
AUGAACAAUUUCAACUUAAAAUUACCUAUCUUUGUCAUUCGAAAGAGGUUUCAUUGCAAAGCCUUUAUCAAGCAAUAAAUCUUGUUUAAAAUGACAUUUUUUUAGUGAUGGAAGCAGUUUUAGUUUUAUAUAGUUUAAAUAAAGUAAAUGUUAGGGUACACGAGGACGCGUUAGCAUAAAAGAAUGUUGGCCUAGUUCAUCUGAAGACUAGGUGCUUCAGCAAAAUGAGAGUCUAAUUGAUGGUUGGUUGUUUUUUUGGAAAAAUAAACUUGAUAAGUGUGCUAUAUUUGAAUUUGUGCGGCUGUGGCGCAGUGGUUAGACUUCUAAACCAAAAUCAAGAGGUCCGAGGUUCAAUGCUACUUUAGCCCAAUCAGCAACAUUGGAUAGGAAGAAGGAGUGAACUUCCAGUUAAAUGCUCGCAGUGCUGUGUAAUAAGAAGAGUUAAUAUAUAUUAUACGCGAUUAUUCCAGAUAAUGCCUGCAAACUCAUCAUAUCCUAAAGACGCUUACACUUGCAGACGUUUGUACGUAACGGUAUACAAAUGGAACUAAGAAGAUCUUAGACCACUAAAACAUAGUCAUAAAAAAAUAAGUUCAUUCUUUUGAUUAUGAUUACAAACUAAAGAAUAAUAUUAAACGCUAAUAUAAAAGUUUAGCGAAAAAAAUUUUGCGCAUCGACGUUGGUUUGUGGCAAAGUAAACCUUUAUGUGUCGAGUUUCUUUUGCAUUUAUCUUACAUUUUUUUGAUUAAUUUUAAUUUUGUUGUACACAAAUGCAUAAAAAUAUAUAAAACUGGUAGAGAUGUAUCAUUUCACGGAUAAGAGAUUUAUUAUUACAAUAUUUAUUACAAU